UACGUAGGGUGCAAGCGUUAAUCGGAAUUACUGGGCGUAAAGCGUGCGCAGGCGGUGAUGUAAGACAGUUGUGAAAUCCCCGGGCUCAACCUGGGAACUGCAUCUGUGACUGCAUCGCUGGAGUACGGUAGAGGGGGAUGGAAUUCCGCGUGUAGCAGUGAAAUGCGUAGAUAUGCGGAGGAACACCGAUGGCGAAGGCAAUCCCCUGGACCUGUACUGACGCUCAUGCACGAAAGCGUGGGGAGCAAACGAGGAUUA
rnacentral:rRNA from 1 species